rnacentral:rRNA from 1 species
ACUCCUACGGGAGGCAGCAGUGGGGAAUAUUGCACAAUGGAGGAAACUCUGAUGCAGCAAUGCCGCGUGAAGGAUGACGGUUUUCGGAUUGUAAACUUCUUUUAUAUACCAAGAUAAUGACGGUAGUAUAUGAAUAAGCACCGGCUAACUCCGUGCCAGCAGCCGCGGUAAUACGGAGGGUGCAAGCGUUACUCGGAAUCACUGGGCGUAAAGGGUACGUAGGUGUUCUAAUAAGUUGGAUGUGAAAUCCUAUGGCUUAACCAUAGAAGUGCAUUCAAAACUGUUAGAAUAGAGUUCAGGAGGGGCAAGUGGAAUUAGUGGUGUAGGGGUAAAAUCCGUAGAUAUCACUAGGAAUACCAAAAGCGAAGGCGACUUGCUGGAAUGAUACUGACGCUGAGGAACGAAAGCGUGGGUAGCAAACGGGAUUAGAAACCCUGGUAGUCC